AGGCAGCAGUGAGGAAUAUUGCACAAUGGGGGGAACCCUGAUGCAGCAACGCCGCGUGAAGGAUGAAGGUCCUUGGAUUGUAAACUUCUUUUAACGGGGAAGAGGAAGGACGGUACCCGUUGAAUAAGUCACGGCUAACUACGUGCCAGCAGCCGCGGUAAUACGUAGGUGGCGAGCGUUAUCCGGAAUUAUUGGGCGUAAAGGGCGCGCAGGCGGCCAUUUAAGUUUGACGUGAAAGCUCCUGGCUUAACUGGGAGAGGUCGUUGGAAACUGAAUGGCUUGAGGCAAUGAGAGGGGUGCGGAAUUCCCGGUGUAGUGGUGGAAUGCGUAGAUAUCGGGAGGAACACCAGUGGCGAAAGCGGCACCCUGGCAUUGGACUGACGCUGAAGUGCGAAAGCGUGGGGAGCGAACGGGAUUAGAUACCCCGGUAGUCCACGCUGUAAACGAUGAACACUAGGUGUGGGUGGUGUCAAAGCUAUCUGUGCCGAAGCAAACGCGAUAAGUGUUCCGCCUGGGGAGUACGGCCGCAAGGCUAAAACUCAAAGGAAUUGACGG
rnacentral:rRNA from 1 species